UACGGGGGAUGCAAGCGUUAUCCGGAAUUAUUGGGCGUAAAGAGUCCGUAGGUGGUUCAGCAAGUCUAUUGUCAAAGGUCGGAGCUUAACUCCGGAAAGGCAGUGGAAACUGUUGAACUAGAGUAUGGUAGGGGUAGAGGGAAUUCCCAGUGUAGCGGUGAAAUGCGUAGAUAUUGGGAAGAACACCGGUGGCGAAAGCGCUCUACUGGACCAUAACUGACACUGAGGGACGAAAGCCAAGGUAGCGAAAGGG
rnacentral:rRNA from 1 species